CCGGGAGAUAGCUGGUUCUCCCCGAAAGCUAUUUAGGUAGCGCCUCGUGAAUUCAUCUCCGGGGGUAGAGCACUGUUUCGGCUAGGGGGCCAUCCCGGCUUACCAACCCGAUGCAAACUGCGAAUACCGGAGAAUGUUAUCACGGGAGACACACGGCGGGUGCUAAUGUCCGUCGUGAAGAGGGAAACAACCCAGACCGCCAGCUAAGGUCCCAAAGUCAUGGUUAAGUGGGAAACGAUGUGGGAAGGCCCAGACAGCCAGGAUGUUGGCUUAGAAGCAGCCAUCAUUUAAAGAAAGCGUAAUAGCUCACUGGUCGAGUCGGCCUGCGCGGAAGAUGUAACGGGGCUAAACCAUGCACCGAAGCUGCGGCAGCGACACCGUGUGUUGUUGGGUAGGGGAGCGUUCUGUAAGCCUGUGAAGGUGUGCUGUGAGGCAUGCUGGAGGUAUCAGAAGUGCGAAUGCUGACAUAAGUAACGAUAAAGCGGGUGAAAAGCCCGCUCGCCGGAAGACCAAGGGUUCCUGUCCAACGUUAAUCGGGGCAGGGUGAGUCGACCCCUAAGGCGAGGCCGAAAGGCGUAGUCGAUGGGAAACGGGUUAAUAUUCCCGUACUUGGUGUUACUGCGAAGGGGGGACGGAGAAGGCUAUGUUGGCCGGGCGACGGUUGUCCCGGUUUAAGCGUGUAGGUAUGUGUUCCAGGUAAAUCCGGUUCACUUUAACACUGAGGCGUGACGACGAGGCACUACGGUGCUGAAGCAACAAAUGCCCUGCUUCCAGGAAAAGCCUCUAAGCAUCAGGUAACAUCAAAUCGUACCCCAAACCGACACAGGUGGUCAGGUAGAGAAUACCAAGGCGCUUGAGAGAACUCGGGUGAAGGAACUAGGCAAAAUGGUGCCGUAACUUCGGGAGAAGGCACGCUGACACGUAGGUGAAGUGAUUUACUCACGGAGCUGAAGUCAGCCGAAGAUACCAGCUGGCUGCAACUGUUUAUUAAAAACACAGCACUGUGCAAACACGAAAGUGGACGUAUACGGUGUGACGCCUGCCCGGUGCCGGAAGGUUAAUUGAUGGGGUCAGCGCAAGCGAAGCUCCUGAUCGAAGCCCCGGUAAACGGCGGCCGUAACUAUAACGGUCCUAAGGUAGCGAAAUUCCUUGUCGGGUAAGUUCCGACCUGCACGAAUGGCGUAAUGAUGGCCAGGCUGUCUCCACCCGAGACUCAGUGAAAUUGAACUCGCUGUGAAGAUGCAGUGUACCCGCGGCAAGACGGAAAGACCCCGUGAACCUUUACUAUAGCUUGACACUGAACAUUGAGCCUUGAUGUGUAGGAUAGGUGGGAGGCUU
rnacentral:rRNA from 1 species